rnacentral:lncRNA from 1 species
UGUCGCAGGGCCGGAUGAGGGGAACAGAAUGUGCGUGGAGCGGGGGAGAAGUGAUCUCUGCCACCGCCUCGGGAGUCCAUGUGGCUGCUCUGAAGUAAGAGAAGUGUUUCUUAAAAAUAAACGAAUAAAUAGAGGCAGCACUAACAGUAGCUGCAAACUCUCGGCUGGAAUAUGCAAAUACUUUAGAAAAUGAAGACUAAGUUUGAGCCUCUCCUUCCUUUAGAAAAGAAGGCGGGUGGUGAAGUCAUUUUGGGUUUUGUCAUUAACACAGGAGAAUAUGAGUAACAGAUACACAUCUGCACUCCCUCUGGGCGUCUGUUUCUUUAGCUUCAAAAUGGUGAUGUUGAGGACAGGCAUGAUGAUCCAUAGAAGGAUCCUCCAGCUAAUCAUCAGUAGAGGGUGGGAUGCCAUGCCACCACACAUCCUCUUCAAGACCAGGGUCCUCAUUCACCAGGUGGCCUGGAGUCUCUUUUCAUUGACCAGAUGAUGAGGGAGGUAUUAAGGCCCAGGCUACACCCUUCUACGGAGAAAACUCUGAAGAGCCACCCACUUUCAGGAUGGCCAAGAGCUCUGUUGCAGCUGCAUCACAGUCCAGCAUCUCCUUCUAUUGGUCCCACCAGCCUCCCCCCAUCCUCUCAUCCCUAACAGGUAAUGUCCAAAGGUGCACUCCCCGAGUAAACUCCCCAUGUGGUUUCAGAGUCUGCUUCCUGUACCUGCAGGAAGGUCUGAUUCCAUGACCUGCAGGUCAUCAGCUAGGACCUCAGUGCACCAACCUGACUCCCAAACCCCAACAUUGAUGGCUGAAAUGCAACUGAUAACAUGCAGAAAGUAGGGGGCUUCCUUUUGAAUACAAUAGUUCUGAGGCUAAAAAACCUCAGAAAACCACACACAGACAAGGUAGCAGCCCAAAUUCCUCAAGGGUCAGAUGAUUUUCAUAAUCCUGUGCAGGUAAAACUGUCAUCUGCAGUUAUGAAUUCAGAAAGAGUAGUUAACAAAACUACUGGAAAAUGAUAAAGGCAACAAUAUUUCCAAGUAAUUAAUAACACAGCAGCAUAGGUGAGCUUGUAAAAUGAAAGUCAGAUCAUGUCAUCCCCAUGCUAAAAACCCCCAAUGGAAAGCCAUCCAUCCCAAAGAAUAUAAUCCCAAAUUUCCGCCUUGGAUUCUAAAACCUAACAUUCUCAUUGCCUCUUUGAAUUCAUAACUUACCACUCUCACUCUUAGUCACUGCAACAACUAACCCUGACCUCCUUGCUAUUGCCAGAACAUUCCAAGCCCACCUACCUUAAGGCUUUUGCCUUUGCAGUUCCUGCUGCUUAAAGUGCUCUUCUUCCAAAAAGCUACAUGGCUCCACAUCACCUCACUUCCUUCAGGUAUCUCAUUAAAUGUCAUCUUAUUAAGGAUGCCUUCCUGCCUCUUCCAUAGAAGGGUUCUCAAAAUAGGUUACACGCUUCCAGAAACACAAAAUCUUUCCAAGGAUUAUCUAGGCAUGUUUAGUUUUGAGGGAAAUGUUUUUCAGAGUCUCAAGUUCUACCUGUAUCCUUUCCCAAACUGUCCAACUUGAGUUUGACCAGGAUCAAGUAUCUUACAAAUUCCUCUACUCACCUCCCCCUUCAUAACAAAUCUUCCUCUCACUUUACAAAAGAAAUAUUUACCUCUUCCCCAUCCCAAAUCUAAUAACAAUGCAUUUCCUCCCCAUGCAAAACCUUGAUUUGAAAUGUGGAGGUUGCAUUUGGGAAAGUGCAUGACGCUGAUGACUAAAUAAAAUAUCUUCUUGUGUUUCAAGUAGUUUCUAAUUCAUUGCUUGCUUUUUUUUUAAGAUUUUAUUUAUUUAUUCAUGAGAGACACAGAGAGAGAGG